rnacentral:rRNA from 1 species
CAGCAGCGCGGGAAUACGGAGGGGGCUAGCGUUGCUCGGAAUUACUGGGCGUAAAGCGCACGUAGGCUGCUUUGUAAGUCAGAGGUGAAAGCCCGGGGCUCAACCCCGGACGUGCCUUUGAGACUGCAGAGCUAGAACGUCGGAGAGGUGAGUGGAAUUCCGAGUGUAGAGGUGAAAUUCGUAGAUAUUCGGAAGAACACCAGUGGCGAAGGCGGCUCACUGGACGACUGUUGACGCUGAGGUGCGAAAGCGUGGGGAGCAAACAGGAUUAGAUACCCCAGUAGUCCCUGUCUCUUAUACC